UCAGAACGAACGCUGGCGGCGUGCUUAAUACAUGCAAGUCGAACGAGAAAGCCCGGCUUCGGUUGGGCGAGUAAAGUGGCGAACGGGUGAGUAACACGUGGAUAAUCUGCCCUUAAAUCUGGGAUAAUCCUCCGAAAGGAGGUCUAAUACCGGAUAAUACCCCUUGAUGGCAUCUUCUUGGGGUCAAAGGCGGGGUAACCUGCCGUUUAAGGAUGAGUCCGCGUCCCAUUAGCUUGUUGGUGAGGUAACGGCCCACCAAGGCUGCGAUGGGUAGCCGGCCUGAGAGGGCGAUCGGCCACACUGGGACUGAGAUACGGCCCAGACUCCUACGGGAGGCAGCAGUAGGGAAUAUUGUGCAAUGGACGAAAGUCUGACACAGCAACGCCGCGUGGGUGAUGACGCUUCUUGGAGUGUAAAACCCUGUCAGUGGGGAAGAACCGUAUAGGGAGUAACUGCCCUAUGCCUGACGGUACCCACAGAGGAAGUCCCGGCUAACUCCGUGCCAGCAGCCGCGGUAAUACGGGGGGGACAAGCGUUGUUCGGAUUUACUGGGCGUAAAGGGCGCGUAGGCGGACCUUCAAGUCGGAUGUGAAACCCGGCGGCUUAACUGCCGGCCUGCAUACGGUACUGUUGGUCUUGAGUACAUGAGAGGAAAGCGGAAUUCCAGGUGUAGCGGUGAAAUGCGUAGAUAUCUGGAAGAACACCAGUAGCGAAGGCGGCUUUCUGGCGUGAUACUGACGCUCAAGCGCGAAGGCUAGGGGAGCAAACAGGAUUAGAUACCCUGGUAGUCCUAGCGGUAAACGAUGGGUACUAGGUGUCGGAGGUAUUGACCCCUUCGGUGCCGCAGCUAACGCAUUAAGUACCCCGCCUGGGGAGUACGGUCGCAAGAUUGAAACUUAAAGGAAUUGGCGGGGGAGCACAGCAACGGGUGGAGCGUGCGGUUUAAUUGGAUUCAACGCCGGAAAACUCACCGGAGGCGACGGUUACAUGAAGGCCAGGCUGAUGACCUUGCUUGAAUUUCCGAGAGGUGGUGCAUGGCCGCCGUCAGUUCGUACCGUAAGGCGUUCUGUUAAGUCAGAUAACGAACGAGACCCUCAUCUUUAAUUGCAACUGUUAAGUCCGCUUAAUAGGCACAUUAAAGAAACCGCUGGCGAUAAGUCAGAGGAAGGCGAGGGCAACGGUAGGUCAGUAUGCCCUGAAUCCUCCGGGCUACACGCGCGCUACAAAGGCUAGAAAAAUGAGCUUCGACACCGAGAGGUGAAGGUAAUCUCGAAACCUAGUCAUAGUUCGGAUUGAGGGUUGAAACUCACCCUCAUGAAGCUGGAAUCCGUAGUAAUCGCAGAUCAACAUCCUGCGGUGAAUAUGCCCCUGCUCCUUGCACACACCGCCCGUCAAACCAUGCGAGUUGGGCCUGAGUGAGGAUGUAGUUUUUGCUGCGUUCAAACUUAGACUUAGUAAGCGGGGUUAAGUCGUAACAAGGUAUCCGUA
rnacentral:rRNA from 1 species